AUUGAACGCUGGCGGCAUGCCUUACACAUGCAAGUCGAACGGCAGCACGGGGGCAACCCUGGUGGCGAGUGGCGAACGGGUGAGUAACACAUCGGAACGUGCCUGGUAGUGGGGGAUAGCUCGGCGAAAGCCGGAUUAAUACCGCAUACGACCUACGGGUGAAAGCGGGGGAUCGCAAGACCUCGCGCUAUCGGAGCGGCCGAUGUCAGAUUAGGUUGUUGGUGGGGUAAAGGCCACCAAGCCGACGAUCUGUAGCUGGUCUGAGAGGACGACCAGCCACACUGGGACUGAGACACGGCCCAGACUCCUACGGGAGGCAGCAGUGGGGAAUUUUGGACAAUGGGCGCAAGCCUGAUCCAGCCAUGCCGCGUGCGGGAAGAA
rnacentral:rRNA from 1 species